CUUACUUGGAGUCCGAACUCUCACUUUCUAACCCUGUGCACUUGUUUGGGAUAGUAACUCUCGCAAGAGAGCGAACUCCUAUUCACUUAUAAACACAAAGUCUAUGAAUGUAUUAAAUUUUAUAACAAAAUAAAACUUUCAACAACGGAUCUCUUGGCUCUCGCAUCGAUGAAGAACGCAGCGAAAUGCGAUAAGUAAUGUGAAUUGCAGAAUUCAGUGAAUCAUCGAAUCUUUGAACGCACCUUGCGCUCCAUGGUAUUCCGUGGAGCAUGCCUGUUUGAGUGUCAUGAAUACUUCAACCCUCCUCUUUCUUAAUGAUUGAAGAGGUGUUUGGUUUCUGAGCGCUGCUGGCCUUUACGGUCUAGCUCGUUCGUAAUGCAUUAGCAUCCGCAAUCGAACUUCGGAUUGACUUGGCGUAAUAGACUAUUCGCUGAGGAAUUCUAGUCUUCGGACUAGAGCCGGGUUGGGUUAAAGGAAGCUUCUAAUCAGAAUGUCUACAUUUUAAGAUUAGAUCUCAAAUCAGGUAGGACUACCCGCUGAACUUAAGCAUAUCAAUAAGCGGAGGAA
rnacentral:misc_RNA from 1 species